rnacentral:lncRNA from 1 species
CUUGAAAUAAGGCUAAAUGAGGAACAGCAGUCCUAAAAUCUUAUAUAAGAGAGGCUGGUCAGAGGGUUUGGUCUUCCUAUUAAAGUGAGAUAGCAGUGCUUUAAAAGUGUAAUGUAGUCUUUUUCUUGCUCAAUUUCUGCAGUGCUGAGCAUGCAGAAAAGAGAAUGCGUUCUUCUGAGGAGCCUGGGAAGUGCUUUUAAGUGUCUUUCUAACGUAUCUGGAAAAGCCUGAAAACAUUUUAUUUACCAAGGACUAAAACUGCUUCUGAGCCUACAAGUGGUAUAUGCUUAUUCUGAACACGAGGCAUGAGCUCUUGGUCAGACUUCUAGAUCUGAGGUGCACUCCAGCAGUUACAAGUCCAGCAUCCCAAACUGCCCUGAAGUAGGUGCUUUGCCUCUUCUCACUCAGCAUCAGUUGCUUGCGUCUUGUGGAAGAUGCUGCCUGGGGCCCAGCAGAGCUGGAGGUAGUGGAAGCUUAACGCAGAGGGCCAUGGGGUUUGUGCCCUCUUUCACCAGUUGCACUCCUAAAGUACUGGUGGCAUCUGCGAGCAGCCAUCCUCGAGGGGACACUUCAUGUCUGAACUCAGCGUACGGAAGCAGCUGUUGCAGAAGACGACUCUGGAGAAACUCUAUCCAAACAAAAGAAGCAGCUAGGAGGUGACAUUUCUGAG